GGCAACUUGGCCGAGCGGUCUAAGGCGCUAGAAUCAGGUGUUCCAACCUAUCUAGUCUCAUUGAGGCGUGAGUUCGAAUCUCACAGUUGUCA